rnacentral:rRNA from 1 species
CACGUAGUUAGCCGGGGCUUUCUUCUCAGGUACCGUCAACCCCGGGGCAGUGACUCCCCAGGGGAUUCUUCCCUGGCAACAGAGCUUUACGAUCCGAAGACCUUCCUCACUCACGCGGCGUUGCUCCGUCAGACUUUCGUCCAUUGCGGAAGAUUCCCUACUGCUGCCUCCCGUAGGAGUCUGGGCCGUGUCUCAGUCCCAGUGUGGCCGUUCACCCUCUCAGGUCGGCUACGCAUCGUCGCCUUGGUGGGCCGUUACCCCGCCAACCAGCUAAUGCGCCGCGGGCCCAUCCGAAAGUGACAGGUUGCCCCGUCUUUCCCGAACCCUUCAUGCGAAAGGUCCGCUUAUCCGGUAUUAGCAUCCGUUUCCGGAUGUUAUCCCGGUCUUUCGGGCAGGUUGCCCACGUGUUACUCACCCGUCCGCCGCUAAGCUUUCGCAGCUUCCACCCGAAGGCUUCCGCCGCGAAAGCUCCGCUCGACUUGCAUGUAUUAGGCACGCCGCCAGCGUUCGUCCUGAGCCAGGAUCAAACUCU